GAGAGAGGCUCGUAAACAACAGAAACUGCUAAUUUCUGCCCCCUGGGUUAAACUCCCGGGCUCACUCG
rnacentral:tRNA from 1 species